CAGCCGCCGCGGUAAUACAGAGGGUGCGAGCGUUAAUCGGAAUUACUGGGCGUAAAGCGCACGCAGGCGGUCUGUCAAGUCGGAUGUGAAAUCCCCGGGCUCAACCUGGGAACUGCAUUCGAAACUGGCAGGCUAGAGUCUUGUAGAGGGGGGUAGAAUUCCAGGUGUAGCGGUGAAAUGCGUAGAGAUCUGGAGGAAUACCGGUGGCGAAGGCGGCCCCCUGGACAAAGACUGACGCUCAGGUGCGAAAGCGUGGGGAGCAAACAGGAUUAGAUACCCCUGUAGUCCCUGUCUCUUAUAC
rnacentral:rRNA from 1 species